rnacentral:lncRNA from 1 species
AGGAACCCUUGACGAUUACAAUCAAAUCACAAAAUCAAGCAUAUGAGGAGAAGUUCAGAAGUCUUAUACCACCAUGAAGACCAUGAACUGGUGAUUUUAAGAUUUUCAUGAGGCUUCAAAGCAGAAGCCCUCCAAUGGUGAUCUACACAAGACUGAUCAGGGCUCUUCCCAACUCGUCAUAGUGCUACUGCCUUCUUCGCAAGUGCGUUGCCAUCCAUCCUUCACAAAAGUGGGUUGCACCAUUGCUUAUUUUCCUUCAUGACCUCCACUAGGACCACUCUAGGAACCCUUUUCCAAAGUAUCAAAUCAUACUCUAAUCAGAUUUUAUGUUCAACAUAUGAACAAUCUGAUUUUUGGACAAGUAUCUCAUACUUUCCAUUUCUCUUCUUCUCUUCUUUUUUAUUUUUCCUUCCCUUAUCCUUGUCUUUGUCUAGACAUUUUUCUCUCAAUUUUCUCUCAUCCUCAUGCCAAUUCCCAG